GCUUCAUCUUCUUGAAAAAUCUAUUGCAAGAUUUGGACUGCAACCAAGUUUUGGGCAGAAAUAUCUUGGUACUUCAUGAUGCCAUCAAAGUCUACAAGAAAUCCUGAACAACAGCCUGGACAAUUAUGCUCCGUGUCCGCCGGGUCAGGCUGAUGUUCCCGCUGCAGACGUGAGGACAAUCAUCACCUGUUCUCAUGUGGUCUUAAUCCACGUAAUGCAGACGGAACAUGAGAUGCUCUGGGAUUUGGAGAGAUCAGCGUCUGUCUGAUGGCAGAGGAAGAGGAAAACGGCUCUCCGAGACUUUUUGGUUCAGUCCUGGCCAUGUGUUACACUGGAGCAUUGAUCCCUUCCCCCCCUUUUUUUACCGUGUAAGCUUUAAGAGCUUUGUUGUAAAUCUUCAUGUUUUGAUGUCAUUAAAUACAAUGAGGAGAUCUGA